CGUAGGGUCCAAGCGUUAUCCGGAAUCACUGGGCGUAAAGCGUGCGUAGGCGGCGUGUUAAGUGUGAUGUUAAAUCGUGGGGCUCAACCCUGUCGGUGCAUCGCAUACUGGCAUGCUAGAGGAAGGCAGAGGCAAGUGGAAUUGGUAGUGUAGCAGUGAAAUGCGUAGAUAUUACCAGGAACACCAAUGGCGAAGGCAGCUUGCUGGGCCUUUUCUGACGCUGAGGUACGAAAGCGUGGGGAGCGAACAGGAUUAGAUACCCCGGUAGUCCACGCCGUAAACGAUGCAUACUAGACGUAUGGGGUAUCGACCCCCUGUGCGUCGAAGCUAGCGCGAUAAGUAUGCCGCCUGGGAAGUACGGCCGCAAGGCUA
rnacentral:rRNA from 1 species